UACAGAGGUCUCAAGCGUUGUUCGGAUUCAUUGGGCGUAAAGGGUGCGUAGGCGGCGCGGUAAGUCGGGUGUGAAAUCUCGGAGCUUAACUCCGAAACUGCAUUCGAUACUGCCGUGCUUGAGGACUGGAGAGGAGACUGGAAUUUACGGUGUAGCGGUGAAAUGCGUAGAUAUCGUAAGGAAGACCAGUGGCGAAGGCGGGUCUCUGGGCAGUUCCUGACGCUGAGGCGCGAAAGCGUGGGGAGCAAACGGG
rnacentral:rRNA from 1 species